UACGUAGGGUGCGAGCGUUGUCCGGAAUUACUGGGCGUAAAGAGCUCGUAGGUGGUUUGUCGCGUUGUUCGUGAAAACUCACAGCUCAACUGUGGGCGUGCGGGCGAUACGGGCAGACUAGAGUACUGCAGGGGAGACUGGAAUUCCUGGUGUAGCGGUGGAAUGCGCAGAUAUCAGGAGGAACACCGGUGGCGAAGGCGGGUCUCUGGGCCGACACUGACGCUGAGGAGCGAAAGCGUGGGGAGCGAACAGG
rnacentral:rRNA from 1 species